UACGUAGGGGGCAAGCGUUGUCCGGAAUUAUUGGGCGUAAAGAGCGCGUAGGCGGUCCGAUAAGUCGGCUGUGAAAGUCAGGGGCUCAACCCUUGAAAGCCGGCCGAUACUGUCGGACUAGAGUCCGGAAGAGGCAAGUGGAAUUCCCGGUGUAGCGGUGAAAUGCGUUGAUAUCAUCUGGAACACCGGUGGCGAAAGCGGCCCACUGGGUC
rnacentral:rRNA from 1 species